CCUCAUGUCUAGUAUAAGCAUUUAUACCGUGAAACUGCGAAUGGCUCAUUAAAUCAGUUAUCGUUUAUUUGAUAGUACCUUACUACUUGGAUAACCGUGGUAAUUCUAGAGCUAAUACAUGCUGAAAACCCCAACUUCGGGAGGGGUGUAUUUAUUAGAUAAAAAACCAACGCCCUUCGGGGCUUCUUGGUGAUUCAUGAUAACUUCACGGAUCGCAUGGCCUUGCGCCGGCGACGGUUCAUUCAAAUUUCUGCCCUAUCAACUUUCGAUGGUAAGGUAUUGGCUUACCAUGGUUUCAACGGGUAACGGGGAAUUAGGGUUCGAUUCCGGAGAGGGAGCCUGAGAAACGGCUACCACAUCCAAGGAAGGCAGCAGGCGCGCAAAUUACCCAAUCCCGACACGGGGAGGUAGUGACAAUAAAUACUGAUACAGGGCUCUUUUGGGUCUUGUAAUUGGAAUGAGUACAAUUUAAACCUCUUAACGAGGAACAAUUGGAGGGCAAGUCUGGUGCCAGCAGCCGCGGUAAUUCCAGCUCCAAUAGCGUAUAUUAAAGUUGUUGCAGUUAAAAAGCUCGUAGUUGAAACUUGGGCCUGGCUGGCAGGUCCGCCUCACCGCGUGUACUUGUCCGGCCGGGCCUUUCCUUCUGGAGAACCUCAUGCCCUUCACUGGGUGUGUUGGGGAACCAGGACUUUUACUUUGAAAAAAUUAGAGUGUUCAAAGCAGGCCUUUGCUCGAAUACGUUAGCAUGGAAUAAUAGAAUAGGACGUGCGGUCCUAUUUUGUUGGUUUCUAGGACCGCCGUAAUGAUUAAUAGGGACAGUCGGGGGCAUCAGUAUUCAAUUGUCAGAGGUGAAAUUCUUGGAUUUAUUGAAGACUAACUACUGCGAAAGCAUUUGCCAAGGAUGUUUUCAUUAAUCAGUGAACGAAAGUUAGGGGAUCGAAGACGAUCAGAUACCGUCGUAGUCUUAACCGUAAACUAUGCCGACUAGGGAUCGGGCGAU
rnacentral:rRNA from 1 species